ensembl:lncRNA
GUACAACAUAAUUCAAAAUGAGACACAGAUGAUAAUAAAAAAGUGUUUUGAAAUUAAAAUGAAUAAUGGGCUGUUCGUGAACACAGAAAAUCGAGAGAUGUUGUGACAACCUGGACAGAAGUCAGCUCCAAAUCCAUUCUCAACACCAGACUUCUCAUUCACAAGGAUUCCUCUCUUAAAAACCAAUAAUUUUCAGAAAUCACUUUUUUUUUAUUGCGCCUUCCAAGUAAAAUCAAUCAAACUGCAGUAGGGUUGUAUUGAUUAAGAUUAAGAUUAUUCAGAUGACAAUGUAGAUGCCAGAAAAAGGUUGAUGUUGUUGUGAUCAUAGAUUGUAUGUGAUUACAGGCAAUACA